ensembl:lncRNA
AAAAUAGGACAACUCAUUCACAGGUUGUGUGUGGGGGGCUGCUGACAGGGACUCUGACCAACAUUAUCAGAAGGUGAAGUUGGGAAGACAUGGUGCCUUUUAUUCCCUUUGGUGUCUCUUUGUUUGGAAGCUUUGUUUUCUAAUGAAGCAUUCUCUGUGGAGUGAGUCACAGUUGUGAGAACCGGGAAUGUUUUAAGAGUAUGUUUAUGGAUUUUAGAAAUAAAUAAGCAAUGAGUAAAAUGCUUCAAAACUGAAAGUACUGUGCCAUAUAUUUUUAUCUGUCACCAAGGCACAGGAGAAAUGUCUAAGUAUUGAUUUUCUACUUUUAUGCCCUCUGUUGGAGGUGCUCGUUAAAGCCAGAAGCACUCCCAAGGACUGGAUUGGAGGGUCCUGUGGGGUGACUUAUCCAGACGGAUGCCAUGGAACUGUUCUUUGUCCUUAUGAGGAUUAAGAUUAGCCCAUCUUUUGGGACCUGUCUCUGUGGACAAAGCAAUUAGAAAAGAAGCAGUUAGAAAAACAUGAAGAGCUGACUUCACAUAAAGCCAGAUGUGACAUCAUGCCCUUAAUCCCAGUACUCCUAAACCAAGAACCAGGAGAAUUCCAAGCAUGAGACAGGAGAAUCUGUGGAAGCUUUGGAGUCUCCUGGAAGGGCUCUACUAAAUUCACAAAACAGCAAACACGUGUGCUUGUCUCUGACUCUACCUCCGUGUGACUACAAGAAGUCUCCAUCUACAAACCCCAACGAAGGAGAAAAGUUUCGGACCGGACAUGGAAAGUAACUACUGACAGCUCACAUGGCGGACUUCAAAAAUCUGAACAAGAAGCUCCUUGCCGGAAGUGUAGGAAUCUGGGAAAGAAAAGCAGAGAAAACUGAGUGAGUUGGAGUUCCACAGACACUGGUGUUAAAAAGUGAGAUUCGUGAUUUUGAAGAGUUUUUGGUCACACAAAUGGAAAUGGAAAUUCUGCUAAACAAGGUUCUCUGGGUACUCCUGGAAAAGGCUGCUGGAUCCUCUCUGUGCAGCACCGGCCCAGAAUAAAACAUGGUGUGAGACUGCUCAAGAGAUAACAAUAAAACAAGGAGUUAAAAUGUAAGAACCUGGUGAAGGAAGCUACUUGAAAGAGGUACAUGACCUUCAUUCUCUUGGCCAAAGGCAGUCAUCGAGGGGAUUGUGGUGGAAGAAUGACACGGCUGGGGAGGAAUUGUUGGAAGUGUCUUAUGAAGCAUUUAAAGAAAGUCGAAAACAAGAUGAGUUUGGCUUUUGAAAGUAAGAAUAGAAUUAAGAGGAUGUACCUGGGUCUCAGUCCUUUGGAACAGACCUGCAGGAGGAACUGGAAGAAGUUGCAAAGCAGGACUGUUGAAGCUCUGAAGCAGAGAAGAACUUUGGCAGAAGUUUAGAAGACUAGUAUUGCUGUUUGCUGCAGCUGCAGGCAAUGAAACCAGAAAACUCAACAAAACCCGCGUGGAGUUUACUGGGGAAAGGGAGCAAAGGGAGGGACAUAUUUACAGCUUGUUUUACUCCUUGAAGAUGGCGGGUGGGGACAGGAGUGCAGAGUAUUCUGUCUACAGUCACCCUGAGGACAGGAUCACCCUAUCCUUGAUAGAGGUCUUUGCUCACAUAACUCCUUAGGAAUCUCCAUGUCUCCAGGAACUCAUCCAUUUUCUUUUCUUGGAAUGUGGCUGUCCACGCUCCCCCUAUCUCCCCUCUCCUCCAGAUCCACUCUCCCUCCCCCAUUCCCCUACAGAAAAGAGCAGCUCUCCAAGGGACAGCAACCAAACGUGACAGAAUGAGAUACAAUAAGACAAGGCAAAAGCCCUUCCACUGAGGCUGGACACGGCAACCAGAGAUGAGGAAAAGAGUCCCAGGAGCAGGCAAAAUGUCAGAGACACACACUCCACUGUUAAAAAUCUCUCAAGACCCUGCACUCCUGGGAGCCUCCGGAGGUGGACUGGCUUUUUGCCCUGGUGUAUGUGGGGGACUUCGAGAGCCCAUCCCACUUGAAGGGAUGCACUCUGUCUCUGAACACAUGGGGAGGGACCCAGGCCCAGCACAGGAAGAUUUGGUGGA